UAAUUGAGGCAUCUACAAAAGUUGUAAAAGUCUAGUUCGGGCCGAAGCCCCGCACUUCUUUGCGCGGCACAGCUGCAGUAGGGGUCCACGCCAGAACCACCGAGACUUUGAGAGUUACACCACCUACACUUCGAAUUCACAGUGUGACAUCUUUGUUUCCACGCUCACAAGAGAAAAGGCAGUAGGUAACCAUGGCCUACAAGCUGGCAAUGCUCCUGGGUCUGACCAGCCUCCUGAUGGUGCUGAUGGUGGACCAGACAGACUCGCUCUGUUGCUGGCCUAAGUGCGGAUGGUUCUUUUCCCAUUGCGAAUGUGCCGAUGGCUUUAAGACAAAGGGCGGCUGCGGAGUCGGUGGGUGCAACGCUGGCUAUUGAACUGCGUUGGGGGCUGCAGAAAAGCCUCAAAACGGUCAUGGUCGGAGGCAGAUGCUGAGGAAGCUC